UUAAACUUGGCUGGGACGCUGAUGGCGUUUAAUUCAAUAUUCUAUUGAUAAAGAUUGCUGCACGCUGCGAUGAAAAGUCACUGCACUCAGAGUCUCCAAAUCAAUAGAAAUGCGGAUGAAUGUGAACUAACAACUUGACCAUUAAUCAAAAAACCUUUUCUUUAGAUGCCCAACUGGCCAACUACCCCAAUAAUAAGUGCUCUAGUACAAUGCGUAACAAGUGGUGGCCUACUAAAGUGUAUUUCCCAUUUCCCUACAUUAAACUGUAGCGAUUAGAGCGCAGUUGUAAGUAUGACCCAUUUGUAGGGCACUGGACUGUUCCAUUAAGCCUCGAUUACACUCGAUAAAAUGCAACAAAAGUCUAACUCGGGUCAGGUCACAAGCACUUGCCGGGGGCUCCGGAAGUCGUCAUUAAUCGUAAUAUGUCAUCGUAACUGAGAACACAAACACUUUUUUUUUUCUUUCCAGAAUGUCAAAAGAGCUGCCAUUGAACCACCUCGUUGAGAGAGACUAUGUUGUACAAAAGUGGGUCGAGCGUGUUUAGCGCACAGCCCCCCGUGUGGAUUUGCGGCAAACCUUUUUUCCUUUGAACUGCGCACCGGCAGCGCGAUAUCCGCACCGCCGCUACUACCGCAUAAAUAGCGGAUAAUACCAAGGUACUGCAGUCAGUUAUUUUUACGGAAGCCCUCGAGGUCUCAUCAUGCUGAAAAAAAUCUGGAAAUCCUUCACGAGAUUAGUCCGUUCCAACGGCAACAACAAGAAAUCCUAUUCCUACCAAUCACAUCAAGCGGAUUAUCUAACAUUACGCCAUCGCAGCAAAGCGGAAGUUAAUCUAGUUACCCUCGGAGAUGGACGGACAGAAUUCCGAACGCCCUACACCAGCCGACUGGGACGAAAAGUUAUCCGUCUUCGCGAGUAAUUGGAGCACUUAAUGUUCUGGUGUGAAUCUUAUUACGACCAAUGGGAAUUAACUAAGAUGUGAUAUCCGGUGAUAUCUGUAACUUUUGGGCUAGGGAAUUUGAUAAUUGGGUGCCUUGUCAGGUCUUGGAAAAAAAAACAAAUUUUUAAAUAUUACAUAAAACAUAUUUUUGUAUACUCUUCUUAUAUAUCAAAUUUAUUCACUGACUUGUAUUGCUGCUGCUGUGUGUCCAUGUUGUUCAAGCGUUGACACCAAACUGGCACAUAACGUCUAUUACUCUGCGCUGUGAAUAAACUUAACUCUAAAAUAAUACGAAACAACAAUUUGACAUGAAUCGGUACCCAUUCAUUUUAUUAUUUUUUUUUCUAAAGCAGAGAACUCUACCAUGAACACUCAUCGCAAUCAUCAGGAGAUAUUAUAUUUUUUUUUGUUCAGUUAGAUUUUCUUGUUAACUUUUUUGGUUUUCAUUUAUGUUAUUAUUUUUUGGUUCCCCGACAGGGAAGAAGGAGGGUCGACAGAAAGUGAUGGGAUUAUGGUAUGAUUCACGGCAGCAUUCGUGACUGGCUGGACGCAACACAAAAAUGAAUGUCAAAAAAUUGUAUAGAAGGGUUUGGGAAUGGGGGGGAAAUAAAACGAAAUAGAAACAUUGGAAUGUCGCUCAGUGCAUCUAUAAAA